rnacentral:rRNA from 1 species
GAGUUUGAUCUUGGCUCAGGACGAACGCUGGCGGUGUGCUUAAUACAUGCAAGUCGAACGAUGAGGCCCUUCGGGGUACGAUCAGUGGCGGACGGCUGAGUAACACGUAGGUAACGUACCCUUUACUGGGGAUAACACCGGGAAACCGGUGCUAAUACCGCAUAAGCCAAUGGUUGAAAUACUGUUGGUUAAAGAAUUUCGGUAAAGGAUCGGCCUGCGUCUGAUUAGCUAGUUGGUAGGGUAAGAGCCUACCAAGGCAAUGAUCAGUAGUUGGUCUGAGAGGAUGACCAGCCAGAGUGGGACUGAGACACGGCCCACACUUCUACGGAAGGCAGCAGUAGGGAAUUUUGCGCAAUGGGCGAAAGCCUGACGCAGCAACACCGCGUGCGGGAUGACGGCCUCGGUUGUAACGCUGUCAGCAGGAUAUAAUAGACUGUACCUGCAGAGG